CUUACAUUUUCAUUUUCCCUCCGUUUUCCAAAACACUUUCUCCAUCAUGGCUCAACCGCCAAAACCCUAGCAUCGCAUCUCCGCGCUCUCUCUUCCGCUGCCAAAUCUUGGCGCUACGGAACUGCCUUGUGCGCGGUUUCCUUACAGUUCUCCAACCUCAUUCCAGAAGCUUCAUCACCUUCUCCUCCAUCAAACCGCUCAAAUUCGGCGCCGAGAGAAGGUUCCUGAUCACCUUCAUAGCUCCGUGAUGAAUUCGCCUUGUCUUGUUCAGGUUCGGCGUCAAAAUUGAGACCAAGCACUACAGAGCGUUCUCGAUUAGAUAAAUGGAGUGGCACCAAUUAUAGUAUACUAGCUCAAUAUGGAUAUGUUCACAUCGACCCUGUUUGUCGGAGUACAUGAUCUUCAUGGGUGAUUGGAAAAACUUUGUCAGUGAAACUCUACAACAAAAUGGCCACUGCAUGUAACAGACAAUGUAUUUCAAUAACAAACUGGUUUGAGAUUUUUGUAAGUUUUCUCAAUGCUUCAUCAGCCAUGACUUAAAAAAUGGAAAAUACUGCUCCUCUAAGUUGAUGCACAACAGUUUGGAAAUGACCUAACUAUGGCUAGACUGCUAGCUUUAAGUGUAGCAUUUUGCUUUCUGGUUUAAGAUAAAUGCUGUGAAUUUUCUGGAUGUAAAACUGGACAUAUUUUAACUUAGAAAUCCUUAAACUCUUGUCAAAGUACUCCUUAGGAGUUAGGACUAAAGAGAAGAGAAAAGAGGGUUAUUAAUUACUCUUUGGAUACUAAAGUCAUUAGGACUUUGCAGAGAGUAUUAUAUGAAACUAUUCUUAUUUUAUACCUCAGUAAACAUUUCCAUUACUGCUCCUUUUGAAACGGAGCAGUAAUGGAUAAUUGUGCUACAAAUUGCGACGGAGCAGUAAAAAUCUAA